rnacentral:rRNA from 1 species
UACAGAGGUCUCAACCGUUGUUCGGAUUCAUUGGGCGUAAAGGGUGCGUAGGCGGUCGCGUAAGUCAGGUGUGAAAUCCCGGGGCUCAACCCCGGAACUGCAUUUGAUACUGCGUGGCUCGGGUACUGGAGAGGAGACUGGAAUUUACGGUGUAGCAGUGAAAUGCGUAGAUAUCGUAAGGAAGACCAGUGGCGAAGGCGAGUCUCUGGACAGUUACCGACGCUGAGGCACGAAGGUCAGGGGAGCAAAC